rnacentral:rRNA from 1 species
UUUUUAAUAUAUUUUUGCUCCACGCGAGAAAGAUGCUUUCGACAUCGUAUGCAAAAGUUAUAGCCGUUUUACUUUUUCAUAACACUUUUUUGCAAAACAUGUCAAAAUUUAUGUUUUUGAAUUUUCCUAACUAAUAGUUGUAGUAACAUAAAUACAUCUCGAAGGAUUUUAAUUUUUGAAGUUUUUAUCAUUUUCUUUUCUUUUUUUGAAAACUAAAAUGGCGAUUAGGGGGGGCAGCAUAAUGGACGAAGGCGGGGGUAACAUGUCGGAUGUGAUCAAUACCAGCACUAAAGCACCGGAUCCCAUCAAAACUCCGAAGUUAAGCGUGCUUGGGCGAGAGUAGAACUAGGAUGGGUGACAUCCUGGGAAGUCCUCGUAUUGCAUUCCC